rnacentral:rRNA from 1 species
AGUGAACGCUGGCGGUAGGCCUAACACAUGCAAGUCGAACGGCAGCACAGUAAGAGCUUGCUCUUACAGGUGGCGAGUGGCGGACAGGUGAGGAAUACAUCGGAAUCUACUUUUUCGUGGGGGAUAACGUAGGGAAACUUACGCUAAUACCGCAUACGACCUACGGGUGAAAGCAGGGGAUCUUCGGACCUUGCGCGAUUGAAUGAGCCGAUGUCGGAUUAGCUAGUUGGCGGGGUAAAGGCCCACCAAGGCGACGAUCCGUAGCUGGUCUGAGAGGAUGAUCAGCCACACUGGAACUGAGACACGGUCCAGACUCCUACGGGAGGCAGCAGUGGGGAAUAUUGGACAAUGGGCGCAAGCCUGAUCCAGCCAUACCGCGUGGGUGAAGAAGGCCUUCGGGUUGUAAAGCCCUUUUGUUGGGAAAGAAAAGCAGCAGGUUAAUACCCCGCUGUUCUGACGGUACCCAAAGAAUAAGCACCGGCUAACUUCGUG